rnacentral:rRNA from 1 species
GACGAACGCUGGCGGCGUGCCUAAUACAUGCAAGUAGAACGCAGUUGCGAACGGGUGAGUAACGCGUAGGUAACUGCCUCAUAGCGGGGGAUAACUAUUGGAAACGAUAGCUAAUACCGCAUACUGUGAGCUGGACCUGCGUUGUAUUAGCUAGUUGGUGAGGUAAAGGCUCACCAAGGCGACGAUACAUAGCCUGCCUGAGAGGGUGGUCGGGCAAACGGGGACUGAGAAACGGCCCAGACCCCUACGGGGGGGAGCAGUAGGGAAACUUCGGAAAUGGGCGGAAGUCUUAACGAGCAACGGCGCGGGAGGGGAGAAGGGUUUCGGAUCGUAAAGCUCUGUUAUGAGAGAAGCGGUAACUAACGAGAAAGGGACGGCUAACUACGUGCCAGCAGCCGCGGUAAUAC